rnacentral:rRNA from 1 species
GGGCCCGCACAAGUAGUGGAGCAUGUGGUUUAAUUCGAAGAUACGCGCAGAACCUUACCAACACUUGACAUGUUCGUCGCGACUCUAAGAGAUUAGAGUUUUCGGUUCGGCCGGACGAAACACAGGUGCUGCAUGGCUGUCGUCAGCUCGUGUCGUGAGAUGUUGGGUUAAGUCCCGCAACGAGCGCAACCCUCACUUUUAGUUGCCAUCAUUUAGUUGGGCACUCUGAAAGAACUGCCAGUGAUAAGCUGGAGGAAGGUGGGGAUGACGUCAAGUCCUCAUGGCCCUUACGUGUUGGGCUACACACGUGCUACAAUGGUAUCUACAACAGGAAGCAAGACGGCGACGUUAAGCAAAUCCUUAAAAGAUACCUCAGUUCGGAUUGCACUCUGCAACUCGAGUGCAUGAAGCUGGAAUUACUAGUAAUCGC